AUUGAACGCUGGCGGCAUGCCUUACACAUGCAAGUCGAACGGUAACAGGUCUUCGGAUGCUGACGAGUGGCGAACGGGUGAGUAAUACAUCGGAACGUGCCCGAGAGUGGGGGAUAACGAGGCGAAAGCUUUGCUAAUACCGCAUACGAUCUCAGGAUGAAAGCAGGGGACCGCAAGGCCUUGCGCUCACGGAGCGGCCGAUGGCAGAUUAGGUAGUUGGUGGGAUAAAAGCUUACCAAGCCGACGAUCUGUAGCUGGUCUGAGAGGACGACCAGCCCAACUGGGACUGAGAAACGGCCCAGACUCCUACGGGAGGCAGAAGUGGGGAAUUUUGGACAAUGGGCGCAAGCCUGAUCCAGCCAUGCCGCGUGCAGGAUGAAGGCCUUCGGGUUGUAACCUGCUUUUGUACGGAACGAAAAGACUCUGGUUAAUACCUGGGGUCCAUGACGGUACCGUAAGAAUAAGCACCGGCUAACUACGUGCCAGCAGCCGCCGUAAUAC
rnacentral:rRNA from 1 species